rnacentral:rRNA from 1 species
UACGUAGGGUGCAAGCGUUAAUCGGAUUUACUGGGCGUAAAGGGUGCGCAGGCGGCUUUGCAAGCCAGUGGUGAAAUCCCCGGGCUUAACCUGGGAACUGCAUUUGUGACUGCAUGGCUGGAGUGCGGCAGAGGGGGAUGGAAUUCCGCAUGUAGCAGUGAAAUGCGUAGAUAUGCGGAGGAACACCGAUGGCGAAGGCAAUCCCCUGGGCCUGCACUGACGCUCAUGCACGAAAGCGUGGGGAGCAAACAGG